rnacentral:rRNA from 1 species
GAUGAACGCUGGCGGUAUGCUUAACACAUGCAAGUCGAACGGACUCAUCGGAGUUUGUGUCGGCCGGCUUUGUAACGCGUCAGAAUCUUGCCUUGGGUUCGGCCCACCUACUGGAAACGGUGGCUAAUACCGGAUGUGCCCAGAUGCAAAAUAGUAAUUGCCUGAACAUGAGUUCGGGUCUGAUUAGGUAUUUGCUGUGGUAAAGACUCACCAAGGCAGCGAUCAGUCGCUGGUGUGAGAUGAUGACCGGCCACGCUGGGUAUGAGACACGGCCCUGAGUACUACGAGAGGCAGGAGGGGGGAAUGUUCCGCAAAGGGCGAGAGACUGACGAAGCACUACGGCGUGAGGAAAGAAGUCUUUUGGGGUGAAAACCUGUUUUCGUAGGGAUGAACAAAAUGACGGUACCUAAGCAGUCAGCAACGGCUAACUACGUG